GACGUAGGGUGCGAGCGUUGUCCGGAUUUAUUGGGCGUAAAGAGCUCGUAGGCGGCUUGUCGCGUCGACCGUGAAAACUUGGGGCUCAACCCCAAGCCUGCGGUCGAUACGGGCAGGCUAGAGUUCGGUAGGGGAGACUGGAAUUCCUGGUGUAGCGGUGAAAUGCGCAGAUAUCAGGAGGAACACCGAUGGCGAAGGCAGGUCUCUGGGCCACUACUGACGCUGAGAAGCGAAAGCAUGGGGAGCGAACAGG
rnacentral:rRNA from 1 species